rnacentral:rRNA from 1 species
CCAUGCAUGUGCAAGUGCAUACCGUAGAUUCGGUAAAACCGCGAAUGGCUCAUUAGAACAGUUGUUGUUCGAAAGAACUGAUGUCCACAGGGAUAACUGUGGAAAUGCUAGAGCUAAUACACGCCUUGAUGCUUUGAGUGCCGUUCUCAAAGCGCGUUUAUUUGCCAAUUUUGAUCGGCUCGCUCGUGCGGUUCGGCGCGCUCGCCGUCUGUUGCGUAGCGUUGUCGUCGUCGAGAUGAGUCGAUAAAAGUCGUUGAAUGGCCAAAUAAAUUUUGCUGAUCGCACGGUCUUAGUACUGGCGACGAAUCUUUGAAACGACUUGCCUAUCAACUGUCGAUGGCAGGCUACGUGCCUACCAUGGUGACAACGGUUAACGGGGAAUCAGGGUUCGAUUCCGGAGAGAGAGCCUGAGAGACGGCUACCACAUCCAAGGAAGGCAGCAGGCACGCAAAUUACCCACUCCCAGAAUGGGGAGGUAGUGACGAUAAAUAACGGAACGUAUCUCGACGAGACGCGUUACCGGAACGACUGAGCCGUAUACGAGCUCGGCGAAAGCUAUUGGAGGGCAAGUCUGGUGCCAGCAGCC